UCCGUAGGCGGUGUGGCAAGCCGGGAGUGAAAUCUCUGGGCUUAACUCAGAGGCUGCUUCCGAAACUGCUGUGCUUGGGUGUGGGAGAGGCGCGUGGAAUUGCAGGUGUAGCGGUGAAAUGCGUAGAUAUCUGCAGGAACACCCGUGGCGAAGGCGGCGCGCUGGACCACAACUGACGCUGAGGGACGAAAGCUAGGGGAGCAAACAGGAUUAGAUACCCUGGUAGUCCUAGCCCUAAACCAUCAGGACUUGGGGUGUCUCGAGUACUCGGGACGUCCCGGAGCUAACGCGUUAAGUCCUGCGCCUGGGGAGUACGGUCGCAAGACUGAA
rnacentral:rRNA from 1 species